CAAAGCUUCAUUGUUUCGGCAGCAAUGCACCCCACGUCUUCAUCAGCAGUAAGCGGUUCGCUGAAGCUGGUGGCAGCAUGAAAGCUGGCCAGAGGUUCCACGUACUCUACCAGUUCUAUUCUACAACUAAGGGACCACUUACAACUUGGUAUGGUGUACA